rnacentral:rRNA from 1 species
UACGAAGGGUGCAAGCGUUACUCGGAAUUACUGGGCGUAAAGCGUGCGUAGGUGGUUUGUUAAGUCUGAUGUGAAAGCCCUGGCUCAACCUGGGAAUUGCAUUGGAUACUGGCAGGCUAGAGUGCGGUAGAGGAUGGCGGAAUUCCCGGUGUAGCAGUGAAAUGCGUAGAGAUCGGGAGGAACAUCUGUGGCGAAGGCGGCCAUCUGGACCAGCACUGACACUGAGGCACGAAAGCGUGGGGAGCAAACAGG